AGAGUUUGAUCCUGGCUCAGGACGAACGCUGGCGGCGUGCCUAACGCAUGCAAGUCGAACCAGAGAACUCCUUCUCUGAGUGGCGAACGGCUGAGGAACACGUGGGUGAUCUACCCUGGGUGGGGGAUAACAGACCGAAAGGUGUGCUAAUCCCGCAUACGAUCCCUUCCCCCCGGGAGAAAGCCUCCCUGAGGCGCACCAGGAAGAGCCUGCGCCCCAUCAGGUCGCUGGUAGGGUAUGGCCUACCAGGCCAAUGACGGGUACCUGGUCUGAGAGGACGACCAGGCAGACUGGGAUGAGACACGGCCCAGACUCCUACGGGAGGCAGCAGCAAGGAAUUUUCCGCAAUGGGCGAAGCCUGACGGAGCAACGCCGCGUGCAGGAUGAAGGCCCUCGGGUUGUAAACUGCUUUUGUGGGGAAGAACAGGACGGUACCCAACGAAAAAGCCCCGGCUAACUCCGUGCCAGCAGCCCGGUAAUACGGAGGGGGCAAGCGUUGUCCGGAUUUACUGGGCGUAAAGCGCACGUAGGCGUCUUGUUCGUCGCUACUGAAAGUGCCCGGCUUAACCGGGUAAGGCGUGGCGAUACGGCAGGCUCGAGGCAGCCAGAGGUUGGUGGAAUUCCGAGUGUAGCGGUGAAAUGCGUAGAGCUCGGAGGAACGCCAGUGGCGAAGGCGACUAACUGGGGCUGUCCUGACGCUGAGGUGCGAAGCGUGGGGAGCAAACCGGAUUAGAUACCCGGGUAGUCCACGCCGUAAACGAUGUCGGCCGGUGUUCGGGAAUGUG
rnacentral:rRNA from 1 species